CUGCUAACCAUACCCAGUCCCCCACCUGGAUGUCUUCUCCUGCCCUCCUGUGCCUGUCUGCCUGCACUUUGUAGGCGUGUUUAGCUAGUUCCAAGUGCCGUCGUAGCUCCUCGUGGACCUCCUGCAAUUCUGCUGCUAAAUGCUCCGCUCCCUGCGACUCCCCCUGCGUCGUUGUCUCCAACGCCGGGAAGGUUCUGGGAUGUCGCCCAUUGUUGGCGAAGAACGGUGUCACCCCCGUUGACGCGUGCUUCGUGUUGUUGUAGGCAAACUCGGCCAUCGGUAAGUAGUCCACCCAAGUUGCAGGCUUUUGAUUGGCGUAACAUCGCAGGUACUGCUGCAUGAUGGCGUUGACCCUCUCCGCUUGGCCGUUGGUUUGCGGGUGUCUCGCCGACGCUAAGUUGAUCUUGACAUUCAGGAUGCCCAGGAGCUUCUGCCAGAAACUGGAAAUGAAUUGGCGACCCCGGUCGGACAGGAUGGACCGCGGUAAGCCGUGCACCCGGAACACGUGGUCUAUGAACAGCUUGGCGGUCUGUUCCGCUGUUGCCACCUUCGCGCAAGGAAUGAAGUGCGCCAUCUUGGUGAACAGAUCUACAACCACAAGCACCGCCGUCUUGCCCCGCGAACUGGGCAGAUCAGUAACAAAGUCCAGCGCCACCCUUUCCCACGGCUGCAGUGGCGUCUCCAGCGGUUCCAGCAAUCCCGCUGGCUUCUUGUGCACUGGCUUGGACCUCUGACAAGUGUCACACCUGGCGACGUAAUCCGCGACCUCUCCCCGCAUCUGGGGCCACCAAAAGUCUCUGGCUACUAAGUCCGCCGUCUUUUCUUUGCCGAAGUGACCCGCGCUGGGGCGUCGUGUAACUGCUGUAAAACCUUCGCGCGGAGAUCGUCUCCCGGCACGUAGAGAGCACCUUUGCGGGUCAGCAGGCCGUCGCGUAUCUGGAAUUCGCCGUCCUUUGCUGUCCCUCUUCGCACCUCCUCCAUCUUGGAUUGUGCGAACGGAUCCGUCUUUAGCGCGCGUCGUACCGCGUCCAGGUCCACGGCGGCGGAAGCGCACGCCCACGCUUGCGGUGCGAAAAUGUGCCUGGCUGCCACUGGUGCCGCUUCCUCGAGAUACUGCGGUUUCCUGGAGAGCGCAUCCGCUAUGACGUUGUUGUCUCCCGGGAUAUACUCUAUCCGGAAAUCGAAAUCCGCAAAGAACUCCGCCCAUCUCAUGUGCCUCUGGCUCUGGAGCUUCGCCGUGCGCCAAUACUCUAGGUUCUUGUGGUCCGUGCGGACCUGCACGGUGUGCUUGGCUCCGAUGAGGAAAUGCCGCCACGCCUUGAAAGCCGCGUGGAUGGCCAACAACUCCCUGUCCCAGAUGGUGUAGUUCUGUUCCGACUUGCUGAGCUUCCGGGAAUAGAAAGCGCAGGGCCUCCAGUUCCCUUGCGGAUCUUCCUGCAAGAGGACGGCCCCCACUGCUCUGUCAGAUGCGUCAGUCUCAACCCGCAUGGGCCUGCCGGGAUUCACGUGUAGCAGCUGGUCUUCGGACGCGAAGAGACUCUUAAGUCUCCUGAAGGACUGCUCCGCCUGGUCCGUCCAGGUGAACUUCUUCUUCUUGGAACUGAGGGUGUCCGUGAUAGCUGCCGUCUCUUUCGCGAAACCCCUGAUGAACUUGCGGUAAAAGUUGGCGAAGCCGACGAACCUCUGGACCUCCUUCCGAUUGCGCGGGCUAUUCCAGUCCAACACCGCGCGGACUUUGGCGCUGUCCAUGGCUAGUCCCUUGUCGGACAGCCGGUAGCCCAGGAAAUCCACCUCCGUCACGUCGAACUGGCACUUCUCCAGCUUGGCGUAGAGUCUGUGCUCCCGUAGCCUCUGCAGGACCUCCUUUACGUCUCUUUCGUGAGUCUCCUGCGAUUCUGAGAAGAUCAGAAUAUCGUCGAGAAAGCAUACGCACUUCUUGUAGAGGAGUCCUGCUAGCACGUGGUGCAUGAAUGCUUGGAAACAGUGGGAGCCAUUUUGGAGACCAAACGGCAUAACUCUGUAUUCAUAGGUGCCCAGCGGCGUGAACAUGGCCGUCUUCCACUCGUCACCUUCCCUCAUGCGUAUUAGAUUGUAUGCUCCGCGUAGAUCCAACUUGGUGAAGAUCCUCCCCUUCCUCACCGUCGCGAGCAGGUCGUCAAUCUUGGGCAUGGGGAAAGCCUUGGGCUUUGUCAUCGAGUUUAUGGCCCUAUAGUCCACAAUGAGCCGUUUUUGGGGCGUGUCCUUCUUCUUCACGAAAAACACAGGACUGCCCCCCACUGCCUUGGAUUCUCGGAUGAAUCCCCGCUUCAAAUUGUGAUCUAUGAACUCCCUGAGUUCCUGCAUCUCAUCUUCAGACAUGGAAUACAGCUUCGCAGUCGGUAGCGUCGCCCCUGGUAAGAGGUCAAUUGCACAGUCGUAGGGCCGGUGGGGUGGUAAUUGGUCAGCUUCCUUCUCGCAGAAGACCUCCAAAACCCCUUGUACUUGUGGGGCACUGCCUGCACCAUGCCUAGAUGCAACUGUUGCCCUUCCUCCUGGCCCUCCUCCUCCUGGCCGAUCUGGAUGCAAUGUUGUGCGCAGUAGGACGAGCCAAAGGUGAGCUGCCGCUGGUACCACGCCAAUGAUGGGCUGUGUCUGUCCAGCCAACUCAUGCCUAACACUAUGGGCGUGUCUGACAGUUGGGUGACAUUGAAACUGAUGACCUCGCGAUGAUUCCCAAUUUUCAGCAGCAUGGGUGGCGUCUGUUGUACCACUUGCCCACCCAGCAACUUCCUGCCAUCUACGGUGACCACGUUCAGAGGCAGCGUGGCUGGUAGUAGCGCUAUGCGAUGCUGCUUGAUGAACUGCAUCCCCACGAAGUCUGCGUUGCUCCCUGAGUCAAUCGUAAUGGGGACUUCCAGGGUGAGUCCAUUAGGCAGCUGGAGAGUAGCAGUGAGCUGCACCACUGGCUUGGGUGGUAAGGGGUCUGUAGGCUGCAAAAGCGCUGGGGACUGCUUCACUGACUUGCCUGGCGGAGCCCCAGCAUCUCUGCUUCCAGCCAGGCAUUCUCGUUUCCCUGAAACUGUUCCCCUUGGAACGCUUCCCCUGUUACUGUUGCUAAGGCUGCAGUGUGCUUCUGGAGCCUCUGGGGACACUCUUUAGCCAUGUGCCGUGCACUGUCACAGAUGUAACACUUCCUGGUCCCUCUAGGAGGCUUCGCCUUGACUGCUCCGGACGCUGAGGCUCCGGCAGCUGUCUGAGCCUUUGCACCACCCAGCUCCAUUGGUUCUUCCCCCCCUUUCAGCAUAGGCGAGGGGUUUGUACGUCCCAGGUCCCUGGGAGGAAAAGGAGGCGCUCUAGCUGGUGGGCGGACGUGACGCCCCUCCUCACUGUGCCAAGGGCGUUCUUCGUGGCGCACCCCUAUCGUGAGUGCCCUCUGCACGACGUCUGCUAGGGUUUGAGGUCUGUCUCCCCUAGCCAGCUCAUCUUUUACUGAGCCAUGAAGCCCCUCCCAGAACAAGUCCCUCACUGCCAGGGAGUCCUUUUCCCAGCCCAGCACAUUCAGCAAUGCAAAAAAGCGAGAAUGGUACUGACGCACUGUAGCCUUGCCCUGCCGCAAUCCAUGCAUCUCCUGGCGCGCCACAUCAACGUCAACGGUAGAUUGGAAGCAAGCGUCCAUGGCUUUGAUAAAUUCGUCAGAGUCCCUGCGUGCAAGACCAUCUUCGCGCCACAAAUUGCGUAACCAGGUUCUAGCUUCCCCAUGCAAAUGGGACACAAUAAAGCCUACUUUCUCCUCCUCAUCUUUGAAGUCGUUUCGAAGCAAAUGCAGCGCGUAUACGACGUCUGCUCUGAAAUUGGGAUAAUGCUUCAGGUUCCCAUCGAAGUGGGCUACUAAAUUGCCCCCCUCCGUCCGAGUCCGAUUCCCUCUGAUCUGGACCCCGGGAACCCCUCUUUGCACGCCCGAUCCCACCUGGCUUGCAGAUCCUGGCAUCGCGCUUCUGCGUCGGCAACUGUCUUCUGAGAGACCCGUACUGCAACGGAGAGUUCAGUGACUGCGUUUUGCAGGGUCGUUAUCUGCUCCUCAGUAGUCAUCUCUGCCAAACUUCGUGAGCUUUGCAAAAAAAAAUUUUGCGGUUUUUUUGAGAGGGGACUUACUGUCAGGGCUGCCUCAAGUCUCAGCUCACAAAAGACCAACGCCUAUGUCUUCUUAUAUACAAAAGUGUUUAUUGCAGUUCAUUGUUUGCUUGACAUCCUAGGCGCGCAGCCCUACGUCUGCUACGCUUAGACCGCUGAAGUCCCCUCUGAAUCCGUCCCUCCCCUGCACCAGUUUAAGAGGCUUGCGCUGCUCCACCUCUUUCUCUCUUUCCUUUUCCGCAGGGUCCUUCUGCCCGCUGGGGUUUCGCCCCUCCUGGAUUCCUCUGACGCGGAAUCAGACUGCUCUUGCCCCCUCCUGCGGGCUUUGGGACCUGGCCCCUCCUCCGGGCUCCCUGUACUUCCGCGCGCCUCUACAUUUGAACUUGGCGCGCGCGCCCAGCCUCUAACCUUCCUUUCAACAGCUACACUACUCCCUUCACUGCUCCCCUCCCCUUCCGGGAGGAUGGCUUGCUCCGACCUCCCUCCUUUCUCUGCUGCCGGAGCCGCUUCCCCUGACACACUGAAACCUCCACCCCCUUCGCUGCACUCUGGCGGGGAGGCUGGUCCUGACACCCAGCUGCCACUUUGGGAUGCCCAGCUGGCCCCCUGCUCCUGACACGUCCCCCCUGGGGCUCCCCUGGGCUUGACCACCGGCGCCCCCUUCUGGGAAUCCUCUGAUUCGCUGGAAAGACUCAUGGAAUCUCUUGAGUCAUUGUCAUCCUCUUCCUCGCUGUCCUGGGAUUCAUCCCCAUCGCUCUCCAUCUCCUGCCUACCCUGUGCCUCUGUCCCUGAACCCCUGACA
rnacentral:lncRNA from 1 species